rnacentral:rRNA from 1 species
GGUGUGGCUUAAAUGCCAAGUCCGAACGGCAGCACAGAGAGUCUUGUUCUCGGGUGACGAGUGGCGGACGGGUGAUUAAUGUCUGGGAGACUGCCUGAGGGAGGGGGAUAACUACUGCAAACGGUAACUCAUACCGCAUAACGUCGCAGAACAAAGAGGGGGACCUUCCGGCCUCUUGCCAUCAAAUGUGCCCCGAUGGGAUUAGCUAGUAGGUGGGGUAACGGCUCACCUAGGCGACCAUCCCUGGCUGGUCUGAAAGGAUGACCACCCACACUGGAACUGAGACACGGUCCUCACUCCUACGGGAGGCAGCAGUGGGGAAUAUUGCACAAUGGGCGCAAGCCUGAUGCAUCCAUGCCGCGUGUAUGAAGAAGGCCUUCUGGUUGUAAAGUACUUUCAGCGGGGAGGAAGGUGUUGUGGUUAAUAACCGCAGCAAUUGACGUUACCCGCAAAACAAGCACCGGCUAACUCCGUGCCACCAGCCGCGGUAAUAC